rfam:Danio rerio chromosome 4, GRCz11 reference primary assembly.
GCUUACGGCCAUACCACCCUGGAACUGCCCGAUCUCAUCUGAACUCGGAAGUAAAGCAGGGUCGGGCCUGGUUAGUACUUGGAUGGGAGACCGCCUGGGAAUACCAGGUGCUGUAAGCU